CCCUCGGUGGUACAAUCGGUUAAUGUGCUCGGCUGCUAACUGAAAGGGUGGAGGUUCAAGUCCACCCAGAGGCA
rnacentral:tRNA from 1 species